AUUGAACGCUGGCGGCAUGCCUUACACAUGCAAGUCGAACGGCAGCACAGGAGAGCUUGCUCUCUGGGUGGCGAGUGGCGGACGGGUGAGGAAUACAUCGGAAUCUACUUUUUCGUGGGGGAUAACGUAGGGAAACUUACGCUAACACCGCAUACGACCUACGGGUGAAAGCAGGGGACCUUCGGGCCUUGCGCGAUUGAAUGAGCCGAUGUCGGAUUAGCUAGUUGGCGGGGUAAAGGCCCACCAAGGCGACGAUCCGUAGCUGGUCUGAGAGGAUGAUCAGCCACACUGGAACUGAGACACGGUCCGAACUCCUACGGGAGGCAGCAGUGGGGAAUAUUGGACAAUGGGCGCAAGCCUGAUCCAGCCAUACCGCGUGGGUGAAGAAGGCCUUCGGGUUGUAAAGCCCUUUUGUUGGGAAAGAAAUCCAGCUGGCUAAUACCCGGUUGGGAUGACGGUACCCAAAGAAUAAGCACCGGCUAACUUCGUGCCAGCCGCCGCCGUAA
rnacentral:rRNA from 1 species